rnacentral:lncRNA from 1 species
GAAGGUGGGGCGUGCGGAUGAGAUUUUUGAGAUAGAAAAGUAGGUGUGAGGAAGCUUUCUACAUGAAUUUAAAAAGUUCAAAAAUUUUAAGAGGAAAGAAUAAAAAGAGAGUGGGCACAGGGUUUUCUGUGUGUACCCUAGGAUUACUGCCUAAAAUUCGGGAAGUGAGAAAGUGAGCCACGAGUGUCGUGAGCCCACC